GAUGAACGCUGGCGGCGUGCUUAACACAUGCAAGUCGAACGAGAAGUGAAGACGGAAACCUUCGGGCGGAAGGCUUUAUUUCGAGUGGCGGACGGGUGAGUAACGCGUGGGUAACCUGCCUCAUACAGGGGGAUAACAGUUGGAAACGACUGUUAAUACCGCAUAAGACCACAGCACCGCAUGGUGCGGGGGUAAAAACUCCGGUGGUAUGAGAUGGACCCGCGUUCGAUUAGCCAGUUGGCGGGGUAACGGCCCACCAAAGCGACGAUCGAUAGCCGAUCUGAGAGGAUGACCGGCCACAUUGGGACUGAGACACGGCCCAAACUCCUACGGGAGGCAGCAGUGGGGAAUAUUGCACGAUGGGGGAAACCCUGAUGCAGCGACGCCGCGUGAGUGAAGAAGUAUUUCGGUAUGUAAAGCUCUAUCAGCAGGGAAGAAAAUGACGGUACCUGAGUAAGAAGCCCCGGCUAACUACGUG
rnacentral:rRNA from 1 species